UGCGAGGGCAUAUCGUCCUCGCUUUCGUGUACCGUAGGGUGGUACACCAACAAGGGCUGGGCAAGACCGGUGCCAGCCGCCGCGGUAAUACCGGCAGCCCGAGUGAUGGCCGAUCUUAUUGGGCCUAAAGCGUCCGUAGCUGGCUGCGCAAGUCCGUCGGGAAAUCCACUCGCCCAACGAGUGGGCGUCCGACGGAAACUGCACAGCUUGGGACCGGAAGGCUCGAAGGGUACGUUCGGGGUAGGAGUGAAAUCCCAUAAUCCCGCACGGACCACCGAUGGCGAAAGCACUUCGAGAAAACGGAUCCGACAGUGAGGGACGAAAGCCAGGGUCUCCAACCGGAUU
rnacentral:rRNA from 1 species